CAGGGGCCUGCGUUCGCGCGACCCUUUUCAAAUUAGUUUUAAUGUUCGUCAUCAUUGAAUUAAACUUGCUUGGUCAUGAAUGACUCUUUGAAUUAAACUGUCAUAAUUAGAAUUGCCAAUAUGGGCUGAAACUUGUUGGGCAUCCCAUCGCCCAUAUCUAUCCACAAAAUAUAUGGUUGUCAUUUGGCCCAUUUAUCCACUCACUUAUUAUCAAAAGU
rnacentral:lncRNA from 1 species